rnacentral:rRNA from 1 species
GUGAAAUAGUGAUCUUACUUAUGGCGGACGGGUGAGUAACGCGUGGGUAACCUGCCGCAUGCUUCGCCCGACAACAGAGGGAAACUUCUGCUAAUACCGCAUAAGCGCACGGAGUCGCAUGACUCUUUGUGAAAAGAUUUAUCGGCAUGCGAUGGACCCGCGUCUGAUUAGGCAGUUGGUGAGGUACGGCCCACCAAACCUACGAUCAGUAGCCGGCCUGAGAGGGUGAACGGCCACAUUGGGACUGAGACACGGCCCAAUCUCCCACGCCACUCAGCAGUGGGGAAUAUUGCACAAUGGGGGAAACCCUGAUGCAGCGAUGCCGCGUGGAGGAUAAUGUUUUCGGAUUGUAAACUCCUGUCUUAAAGGACGAUAAUGACCGGUACUUAAGAGGAGGGGGGGGGGGAGGGCGCAGCAGCCGCGGUAUACAUAAGAACGAGCGUCGCCCCCUUCUUCUUCUUUGUUAGGGAGCGAGCGGGAUCGCAGGUCAGAUGUGAACCGCCCGCCCUCACCCCUGACUGAUUUGAAACUGCGGUCCUGAUGGAGAAAGUAGCGGAAUCCUGAGUGCGCGUCAACUGACU